UGAUUUACCUAAACGAUGCCAACCAGUAAUCCGUCUGAGUUCCUUAAAUGACUCGACGGGCGACUUCCGGGAAACCAAAGUUUUUCGGUUCCAGGGGAAGUAUGGUUGCAAAGCUGAAACUUAAAGGAAUUGACGGAAGGGCACCACCAGGAGUGGAGCCUGCGGCUUAAUUUGACUCAACACGGGAAAACUCACCCGGCCCGGACACUGGAAGGAUUGACAGAUUGAGAGCUCUUUCUUGAUUCAGUGGGUGGUGGUGCAUGGCCGUUCUUAGUUGGUGGAGCGAUUUGUCUGGUUAAUUCCGAUAACGAACGAGACUCUAGCCUACUAAAUAGAUCGUCGGCUUACAAACGCCGAUGAGACUUCUUAGAGGGACAGGCGGCGAUUCAGCCGCACGAAACAGAGCAAUAACAGGUCUGUGAUGCCCUUAGAUGUCCGGGGCCGCACGCGCGCUACACUGAAGUGAUCAGCGUGCAUUUUCAGCCUACUCUGCCAAGAGUGGGAAACCCAAUGAACCUUCUUCGUGAUUGGGAUAGGGGAUUGUAAUUAUUCCCCUUGAACGAGGAAUUCCCAGUAAGCGCGAGUCAUAAGCUCGCGUUGAUUACGUCCCUGCCCUUUGUACACACCGCCCGUCGCUACUACCGAUUGAAUGUUUUAGUGAGGUCUUCAGACUGGCCGGUGCAGCUACUCUCGUAGUGGCAGCGCUGUGUUUGGGAAGAUGCCCAAACUUGAACAUUUAGAGGAAGUAAAAGUCGUAACAGGUUUCCGUAGUGAACCUGCGGAAGGAUC
rnacentral:rRNA from 1 species